rnacentral:rRNA from 1 species
GAUGAACGCUGGCGGCAGGCCUAACACAUGCAAGUCGAGCGGAAACACGAUGAGCUUGUUCCUUUAACGGUAGCGGGGGACGGGCGAGUGAGACGUGCGUAACCUACCUCUUUUCCUUGGAGAAGUACGGGAAGCCGGAGCUAAUACUAGCUCAUAUUUCGCACCGCUUGAUUCGUUAGAGAUUGAUGCCUUUGCUAUCAGUAAUAGAUGGACCGGCGCCGGAUUAGCUAGUUGGUAAGGUACCGGCACACCAAGGCAACGAGACGUAGCCGACCUGAGAGGAUGAUCAGCCACACUGGAACUGAGACACGGUCCAGACCACUACGGGAGGCAGCAGUGGGGAAUGUUGCGCAAUGGGCGGAAGCCUGAUGUAGCAAAGCCGCGUGGGUGAUGAAGGUCUUCGGCUCGUAAAACUCUGUUGUUGGGGAAGAAGAACAGUGUAAGUAACGGUGCACGUUUUGACGGUACCUAAUGAGUAAGCACCGGCUAACUACGUG